UAAAAGGUGCACUAAACAACAUUAUCAAUACUUAAAAUUAAUAACAAGGAAUAUCAAAGGUAAAUGCUAUUUUCUUAAAAGUAAUUAAAAGAAAAUUGGGAACGAAACAUUCCUUGAAACACUCAAAAUCCAUUCACGAAGAUUCUCUCCUGUUUCCUCAUUCUCCUCAAAUCUCCCUCGCUCUCGACUUCACGCUCUUCUCACCGAAACCCUCUCUCCAUCGCGCCUCUCUCACAAACUCCACCCAAAAUUGUUUUUUCAAACUUUGCUUCUGAAAUAGCUCUCUCAACCGUACCUCUCUCACUCAAUCGAUAUCUCCCACGCAAAGGCGGAAAAGAAAAAAAAGUUUAAAAGGAAAAAUCCAAGGCGAAAACUCACCUUUGGUGGUGAUUCGGCGGUAGCAGCGAGCUUGCAAUGGGCUCCCUUCGUUAGGUUUCAAAGUUCUCCGCCGUUGAUUGCAACCAGGGUUUUGAACUGAUUCCUCAGAUAAAAGGGGCAAACUGCAAAAUCCUUUAGGGCGCUCAGCUUGGAUCGGCCUAUUUGGAUGUUUGGUUUUGGAAAAGUGAAUUCGGAGUGACCAAAAGCAAAUUUCGUUUUUGAUUAUCUCAUGCAGCUCAGAGACACUCCAUAUCAAUUUUUUCUCUUCCAGUCAUAGGAGAACCCAUGGAUUCGAAUUGAUGGAAAAGUUUAAUCAAGCAACGAUGAGA